GGGGCUGUAGCUCAGUGGUAGAGCGUCCGCUUUGCAUGCGGAAAGUCCGGGGUUCGAACCCCCCCAGCUCCA
rfam:Trichuris suis scaffold74.11, whole genome shotgun sequence.